AAUUAAUUUAGUCUUGUAGAGCACAUUGAAUAUUAUUUUUAAAAAUUUUUAGGUUUUUGUAAAUGGUCAACUUGUCACAACUAUUGGAGAAGCAGGCAGCUUUGGAGAAUUGGCUCUCAUCUAUGGAACUCCUCGGGCUGCAACAGUUAAGGCUAAAACAGAUGUCAAACUUUGGGCUAUUGACAGAGAUACAUAUAGACGAAUAU